rnacentral:rRNA from 1 species
CAGUAGCCACGGUAAAACGUAGGGUGCAAGCGUUAAUCGGAAUUACUGGGCGUAAAGCGUGCGCAGGCGGUUCGUUAAGACAGAUGUGAAAUCCCCGGGCUUAACCUGGGAACUGCAUUUGUGACUGGCGAGCUAGAGUAUGGCAGAGGGGGGUAGAAUUCCACGUGUAGCAGUGAAAUGCGUAGAGAUGUGGAGGAAUACCGAUGGCGAAGGCAGCCCCCUGGGCCAAUACUGACGCUCAUGCACGAAAGCGUGGGGAGCAAACAGGAUUAGAUACCCCUGUAGUCCCUGUCUCUUAUAA